CCAGCUCCAAUAGCGUAUAUUAAAGUUGUUGCAGUUAAAAAGCUCGUAGUUGGAUUUCGGAAGGUCUUUAGUGGUCCGCCCCUUCGGGGAGCGGGUCACUGGCCUCCUAUGUUCCUAACGGUCCUCAUCCGCGAGGGUGGGGAAUCAACCGCUAGGAUCGUUUACUUUGAGGAAAUUAGAGUGUUCAAGGCAGGCGUGUGCUUGGAUAGGUUAGCAUGGAAUAACGGGAUGGUCCGUUGGUUGGAGCGUAGGUUGAUAGGGACAGUUGGGGGCAUUGGUAUUUGGCAGUCAGAGGUGAAAUUCUAGGAUUUGCUGAAGACGGACGGGGGCGAAAGCAUUUGCCAAGGAUGUUCUCAUUGAUCAAGAACGAAAGUUAGGGGAUCGAAGAUGAUUAGAUACCAUCGUAGUCUUAACCAUAAACUAUGCCGACUAGGGAUUGGUGGUUGUCCUUUUGGAUUCCAUCAGCACCUUAUGAGAAAUCAAAGUCUUUGGGUUCCGGGGGGAGUAUGGUCGCAAGGCUGAAACUUGAAGGAAUUGACGGAAGGGCACCACCAGGAGUGGAGCCUGCGGCUUAAUUCGACUCAAC
rnacentral:rRNA from 1 species